GUUUUCUGUUGCUCACGGUGAAGCCCAGGGAUACAGCUGCACAUAGAAUGAAUAGAAGAUGUUUUAAGAAGAGGGCUGCACCCCAGGUCUCCGUAUCUCAUCCACGUUGGAAGUGAAACAGCUCCUCAUAGGUUGAUGUGCAAAGAAGCUUUGGCCCACUUUGUUUCUGACCUGGGCCAGUUUGCUGUUCCUUAGGCAGCCCGGUCUCCUCCCCCACACCUCCACCCCCACCCUACCCCUGCUCCUGGGGUUCAUCAUAUUGGCACCCCAAUCAGCUUAGCUGUACUGUAGCUCAGAACAUAUGAACUUAGACGCCAGUCUUAGACUCCCUAAUAACAGGAUUAUAGGCAUGAGUCACCAAACACAGCUCAUUUCUGAAUGUGUCCCUAUAAAAAGAAAAAAUAAGUUCAGCAAAACCAACAUACAGAUUACAGGGAUAUUAAUCCAUAUGAUAUGUGUAACAUAUAUACUAUUAAUUUAGAUUUCUCAGAGCUGCCUCUUCUGCUUACAAUGCAACUUGAAAUGAUCAAACCCUUGACAAUGCUCUCACAAUCACUACAUUCCUGUGCCUGUUUACGUUAAGUGAAGUGAAUCAAAGAUUGUAGAACCUGUUCCUGUCACAAUUCUGGUCCUGCACCCUACCAAGUAAGGACCCCCAAAGACUUGAAACAAUACCGUUCCCACAAGACUCCAGAACACCUGUAUUGUCCCGCACUCAUGGGUUUGUCAUGGGCAACCCAUGCAGUCCCUGGAAAUGAUUGUAAUCUACCCUUCCCCCCUUUCCCACUUGUGUUUAUGUACAUAAACUCUUCCUUUACGCCAGCAAGUAAGAGCAUUCCUCA